AUUGAGUUUUAUAGGCCGUGUUUCUACCGAAUGUAUUUCAAAUAUUCUAGAAUGAUACAAUUUUAUAGCAAUGUGAUUAAAAGUUUUAUUUUUAAUGCUGAUUGCGAGUAUAAUUUCUUAUUUAGUUGAUAUAAUUUUCUAGUUUGCUAUUUUGGAAAAUUGAAAACACAUGCGGACACUGCACUCUGCACACUGCACACUUGUUGUUUUUGGCACUUUACAUGUGGGUAACUUUUAUAAAAAUCAAAAGCGUUGAACUGUGAUCAUGAAGUAAGUUUGACUAACUGAACAUAAUAAUAUGGUAAUAUGAUUCGUCAGUCACAUCAACGAAGCUGCAAUGUUUCCGCACCGCACCAUACAGCAGGACAGCAGAAUUAUGAUAAGAAGCUUGAUAAACAAAGCUUCGUGUUUAUGAAGCUUGAUUUUCGUGUGAUGGGAAAAUACUAUAAUUGACUGUAUAUAGUGAGUAUUUUUUUUUUGUUUGGCAAAAAGGAACUUGUCAGAUCGCUUCGUUGGAAUAUGUUAAUUUUAACUUCAUCAAAUGACAUAAUAAUGCCAAUAAACGCGACCUUAACUCAACUCCAGCAAAUGCAUCAAUUUCAACAUCAACUUUAUCCACCUUAAUAAUAAUUGAAUAAUUACUAAGCUAUUUAAAUGAAACCACAUCAAUGACUGAUGCAGCUACAAAAUUAAAUGGACAUGUAGGGAGAUGCUUUCCAACAACAUAAACAGCAUCAACAAAAUUAAAUGUAUCAAUUAAAAAUUAGUUUUGUUUGCUAUUUUGGAAAAUUGAAAACACAUGCGGACACUGCACUCUGCACACUGCACACUUGUUGUUUUUGGCACUUUACAUGUGGGUAACUUUUAUAAAAAUCAAAAGCGUUGAACUGUGAUCAUGAAGUAAGUUUGACUAACUGAACAUAAUAAUAUGGUAAUAUGAUUCGUCAGUCACAUCAACGAAGCUGCAAUGUUUCCGCACCGCACCAUACAGCAGGACAGCAGAACUAUGAUAAGAAAAAUUUGAAGUUUAAUUUUCAUGUGAUCGGAAAAUACUAUAAUUGACUGUAUAUAGUGAGCAUUUUUUUUUUUUUUGGCAAAAAGGAACUUUUCAGAUCGCUUCGUUGGAAUAUGUUAAUUUUAACUUCAUCAAACGACAUAAUAAUGUCAAUAAACGCGACCUCAACUAGUAUAUCACCAGCAAAUGCAUCAAUUUCAACAUCAACUUUAUCCACCUUAAUAAUAAUUGAAUAAUUACUAAGCUAUUUAAAUGAAACCACAUCAAUGACUGAUGCAGCUACAAAAUUAAAUGGACAUGUAGGGAGAUGCUUUCCAACAACAUAAACAGCAUCAACAAAAUUAAAUGUAUCAAUUAAAAAUUAGUUUUGUUGAACUGUGAUCAUGAAGUAAGUUUGACUAACUGAACAUAAUAAUAUGGUAAUAUGAUUCGUCAGUCACAUCAACGAAGCUGCAAUGUUUCCGCACCGCACCAUACAGCAGGACAGCAGAAUUAUGAUAAGAAGCUUGAUAAACAAAGCUUCGUGUUUAUGAAGCUUGAUUUUCUUGUGAUGGGAAAAUACUAUAAUUGACUGUAUAUAGUGAGUAUUUUUUUUUUGUUUGGCAAAAAGGAACUUGUCAGAUCGCUUCAUUGGAAUAUGUUAAUUUUAACUUCAUCAAACGACAUAAUAAUGCCAAUAAACGCGACCUUAACUCAACUCCAGCAAAUGCAUCAAUUUCAACAUCAACUUUAUCCACCUUAAUAAUAAUUGAAUAAUUACUAAGCUAUUUAAAUGAAACCACAUCAAUGACUGAUGCAGCUACAAAAUUAAAUGGACAUGUAGGGAGAUGCUUUCCAACAACAUAAACAGCAUCAACAAAAUUAAAUGUAUCAAUUAAAAAUUAGUUUUGGUAAGUCAUAACUAUUAUGUGUUGUUAAGUGUCUUUAGUUUUAGCACAAGAAUAUGAUUGUAAGAAUGUAUUGAGCCAAAAACUUAGAAAUGAAAAAUUUAUAUGUUACGGAUUAAAUUGAAGAUGCGGUUAAAUGGCCGAAAACAGAGAGCAGGUGCCGCAAAUACAACAUCCAAUCUAUGCCUAAAUUAGCUGAAGUGUGUAUGAAAAUUUAUAAAUUUAUAAAUUUUUGAAAGUCGUGAUUAUUUGAAAUUGUCAUAAAAGGCCUCACUUGAAAGAUGCCGAAAUUCUGUAAAUAUAUUUACAGUAUUUCACAUAAAUGCUUCCUGCUUUAGUGCGUUCUAUUUUUAAAUACAGUAAACAUUCAAUCAUAUUUUGUCAUAAUUUGAACAAAAGUCAUUAGCCGUUUGCGACAACAUAGCGACAUUUUUAUGAACGUAAUUAUAUCUGAAUAUUAAAGAUGUUAGUUUUGUAUUUGUUAGUAUAAGUAUUCAAUAACAUAUUCCUUAUAACUUUCGUUUAAAAAUUAAAGGGAAAAAACGACUCAUUUAAUUAUUUUUUUUUCGCUCGAGCGCCAUACGAUCUUAGCGGCAUUGUUUCCACAC